UACGGGGGGGGCAAGCGUUGUUCGGAAUUACUGGGCGUAAAGGGCGCGUAGGCGGCGUGUUAAGUCAGCUGUGAAAUCUCCGAGCUUAACUCGGAACGGUCAGCUGAUACUGAUGUGCUAGAGUGCAGAAGGGGCAAUCGGAAUUCUUGGUGUAGCGGUGAAAUGCGUAGAUAUCAAGAGGAACACCUGAGGUGAAGACGAAUCCCUGGAAAAUACCUGACACUGAGGCACGAAAGCUAGGGGAGCAAACAGG
rnacentral:rRNA from 1 species